AAAAUCUAUUUUAACUAAAAGAAAAAAAUGUAGCCGAAAGCAGCUCAGUUGUGCAGACAGCUUAAUUCCUCCACCCCAGCUCACAAAAGCGAAUGUUAGGAAGGGGCCUAAAGUCCUUAAGUAUCUAGUAUUUCAGAGCUGUAGCAAUCAAAUCAACCUGCUAGCUACUAUUUUGAAGUCUGUUUGAAACAAAGGGUUAGGAUGAUAUAAAAACCUCAGGUAUUUUGGAGACUAUUUUUUUUCAACAGAAACUCUCUUGAACAGCUGCUGGACUGCAAGAGGAGGUAUGCUCCCUGUUUUAAACUCUGAAAAUAUAUAUGAUAUAAUAUCACUCGUUGGCCGUGCUGUCUUAGUAAAUAAUGAUGCCUGUGUUUAUUGCAGUGUGAUCUGUUUAGCAUGGAACCAGUAACUUUAAAUUGCAUUUCAUCACCAGGCCAAGGCCCAAACACACCUGGGGGGAACAGAACAAGCAUGUGCCUGCAACACUUUAUCCUGCAGUAGAAGAUAACUUUCUGCAAUUGGCUUUUAAGUGCAUGUGGGUUUAUUGAAAACUAUUUUGUUGCAAACUGUGUUUCAAACUCUCUCUCUCUGUAAAACAUAGGUGGGAUUUUUUUUUUAAAGUAUAUGACUGCAAAUUGAUGGUAAUGGUGUGUUUCAAACUAACAAGGUGGGUUUUUUUUGUGUACAAAAUGUGUUUUAAACUGGAUUUUAAAAGUUGAUUUUAAAAGCAGUUUGGUUUUUAUUUUGCAAAAUGAGGUGUGUUUAAAAAAAAGUUUGUGGGUUUGUUGUUUUAAAGUGGUAGAAAUAAACUCAAAACUCCUGUAUGUUGUACAGCCUGAAAUGGAUUAUUUUGUUUUAAAGCUAUGACUUUUUAAAUUGAAAAAUACCCUAAUGAAUGUUUUAUUUUUAAGUUUACAAGACAGUUUCAUGUGAUUUAUAAUAGUAAUAAUAAUAAUAUUCUCUGCUUCACAAACCUACCUAAUACCAGCAGCGUGAGAGACCCUGACGAACUCUUUCAGUACCUGUUUUGCUCCAACUACAAGGUUUCAUCCUGCGAGUUUUUCGACGAUGAAAGAGCAUGAGUGUCUUGGAAGGAUGCAAAAGACCGGUACUCUGUCUUUGGAAAUACCAAUGUUUUCAUAGCCUCUUUCAUCACUGCUUAUGCCCGCUUAGAACUAUACAACCUGCUAGAUAGGUUGCAAGAGCGGUGACCAUACCAUGACACUGACUUGGUGAUAUUUGUGAAAAGGGAGGAUGACUGGAAUCCCCCUCUGCGGGAUUAUUUAGGGGACCUCACAAGCAAGAUCCCGCCAGAUCAACACAUCACCAAGUCUGUGUCGGCAAGCCCGAAAACCUACGGGUAUAAGCUGUCGGGAGGAAAGGCCUGUAUGAAAGUCAAAGCUAUUACCCUGAACGUAGCAAACUGUGAAAAGAUCAACUUUCACAGUUUGAAAGAUCUAGUCCUGGACUAUUGCACAGGCCUGUGAGAAAACACCUCCAAAAAGAUAGAGGUGCAGCAGCCCUCUAUCAUAAGGAACAAAAAUCAGUGGCAAAUAGAGACGACAAAAACCCUUAAGAAAACACAGAAAGUCGUUUCCAACAAGAGGGUCCUAGAAGAAGAGUUUAAAACCCUGUCCUACGGCUUUUAAAAUGGAUCCGAGGUGGAAACACCCCUUUUCUGCAAUUCUUGUGCGGCCUAGCAACUGAGGGAAAAGUUACUUUACAAGAAAUGUGUUGGAUAAUGCCAAACAAACGUUGUCUGUUAUGCCUGAGAGUACUGAAUAACAUGGCUAUAAAAAUCAUUGCAAGAUAUGCUUGUUGAAACAUGUUUUGAGCAAGGCUAGAUAUGCCCAAGAAUUUAAAUUUAGUUUUUACAAAAUUCAUCACCAUCCGGUCGUUUUGCACUAAGUCGUUAGAAUACAAUUUUAAAAUCUGGUCAAAAGAUAAACCCUUGCUACGAUGAUGUAAAAAAACACGCAGUGAUCGCUGCAGGCGACAGGGUGGGGGGUCUUGUAAUUGUCUAUUGUGAAACACAUUGUCUGUGGCAUUUUUGUUUAAAAAUGUCAUAAUGCUUUUAGGAAACAACACGCUAUUCGGGGAGGUGCCCGUAUGAGUCAAAAAACUCUCCACGGUUACACUUCACCAGAUACAAGAUUUUCCUCUUGAGAUCUGCAUCUCAGACAGGA